rnacentral:rRNA from 1 species
CCUACGGGGGGCUGCAGUGGGGAAUAUUGGACAAUGGGGGCAACCCUGAUCCAGCCAUGCCGCGUGUGUGAAGAAGGCCCUCGGGUUGUAAAGCACUUUCAGUGAGGAAGAACGCCUGGUGGUUAAUACCCAUCAGGAAAGACAUCACUCACAGCAGAAGCACCGGCUAACUCCGUGCCAGCAGCCGCGGUAAUACGGAGGGUGCGAGCGUUAAUCGGAAUUACUGGGCGUAAAGCGCGCGUAGGUGGCUUGAUAAGCCGGUUGUGAAAGCCCCGGGCUCAACCUGGGAACGGCAUCCGGAACUGUCAAGCUAGAGUGCAGGAGAGGAAGGUAGAAUUCCCGGUGUAGCGGUGAAAUGCGUAGAGAUCGGGAGGAAUACCAGUGGCGAAGGCGGCCUUCUGGACUGACACUGACACUGAGGUGCGAAAGCGUGGGUAGCAAACAGGAUUAGAUACCCUUGUAGUC